rnacentral:tRNA from 8 species
GCCCAGAUGGCGGAAUUGGUAGACGCGCAGGUUUCAGGUAUCUGUGGCCGCAAGGUCGUGGAAGUUCGAGUCUUCUUCUGGGCACCA